rnacentral:rRNA from 1 species
GACGAACGCUGGCGGCGUGCUUAACACAUGCAAGUCGAACGGAAAGGCCCUGCUUUUGUGGGGUGCUCGAGUGGCGAACGGGUGAGUAACACGUGAGUAACCUGCCCUUGACUUUGGGAUAACUUCAGGAAACUGGGGCUAAUACCGGAUAGGAGCUCCUGCUGCAUGGUGGGGGUUGGAAAGUUUCGGCGGUUGGGGAUGGACUCGCGGCUUAUCAGCUUGUUGGUGGGGUAGUGGCUUACCAAGGCUUUGACGGGUAGCCGGCCUGAGAGGGUGACCGGCCACAUUGGGACUGAGAUACGGCCCAGACUCCUACGGGAGGCAGCAGCGGGGAAUAUUGCACAAUGGGCGGAAGCCUGAUGCAGCUACGCCGCGUGCGGGAUGACGGCCUUCGGGUUGUAAACCGCUUUCGCCUGUGACGAAGCGUGAGUGACGGUAAUGGGUAAAGAAGCACCGGCUAACUACGUG